UACAAGAUUUUGCUGAAUUUUAAGAGGUAUAAGCAUUAAUAGAUAAAUCUUAUUCGGUCAAGGUCAAAGUUGAACAACCAUUCCACACUUUCAGCAAUUUGAAUCGGUCAAAACCCGGUUAGAUCAACGUUAUUUAGCAUCUUAUUCAUGGUGCUACCUUGCCAAUGUCGGAAGCCACGACUGUUGCCACCGUUUCUCAUCUCCUUCUUCUUUCUCUCCGUCGAACCAAUCCGUAGAACUAAAUCCUAAACAAAUCUUAGAGUUGAGGGCCUUAAGCAAAUCAAGUUAUUAACCUUCGUUUUAUUUCUUUGAUUACAUGAUCCAAUCUGUAUACAUAGACUUCUAAAGAAAAUAACGUCCUCCCAUCUCUUUUUUUUCUCCCCUAAAGGUUCGAUUUUCCUGUUCGUCAUUGUUUUAGAUUUUUUUAUUCAUUUGUGCUCAACGAUUUUGAUUUUUAAUAGGUUUGAUUCAUAAUAGGUGUUUUAAAGCUCUCAUAGGUUCAAAGUUCUAACUGGUUCAUUUUUUACUGAUUUUGUUUCUUUCUUGCUACUUUAGUUUUUGAUCAUAUGAUUGCACUACGUAAUUAUCCAUUGCAGCACACCUACAAAUCUAAAACCUUGCACUACAUCAUCCACCUCAAGAUUACACAUAUACCAUUAUUGGAACAGGCGAAAAUUGAAGAAAAUUAUCCGGAGUUAAACUGACUCUGAAUACUUAGAGAUUAAUCAGUUAUGUCCAUUGAUUUGUUUCCUUUUUAUCUGUUUUCUAGAUUUGAGAACCUUAGAUUUGUUAUUUUCUUCCCAGGUUAAUACAAAUAGAUGGGUUAUAGAACAUGCACUCCAGGUGUUUGACAAAAUGUCUCCUUAAAACUAUAACCCAAAUUUACUGCACUCAUCUCUUGACCUGUGUUGGAACAUCAAAUAAAGUCAUGUGCUGAUUCCAAAGGUAAGUUUUUAACAUCGUUUGUAAUCAUAUAACAUUUACUUGACCAAUCAAUGUUUUAGAAGCUAUAUUUAUAAGCAAUUUACCAGAUUUUAUGAGUUAUUGUGUGCAUUGUAAUACACAAAGGAAAAGUUGUAACAUUAUACUCAUAAUUUUGACUUAAAGUGUCCCUGUCUAACGAUUUUUUUGACAAAAUAAUGUAUGGUUAAUUAUUUAUUUAACAAAAUACGAAUUACUUAUUUGAUGAAUAUAGGUUAUGAAGUCUUGGAACCCAGGAACCAAUAUUGAGUGGUUAUUAUGUGUCAUUAAAGAUAAUCUGUCUGGUUUGUAUGUCAUAUGUAAAGAGUUUUUAAGACUCAACUCAAUCUAAUAUCAAUUGUGAUUUUUUUUUUUUAUAAA